rnacentral:lncRNA from 1 species
GAGUGGUGAUGAGUCAGACAACACUCAGUCCUGCUGUGACGAUCACCACAGCCAGUGCAAACAUGACCACUGCUGCUCCCAGCACUACAGCGCUCAGCUGCUCCGGCCUCAACACUUCCACCUGUGCUGCCUGCGCUCCUGGCUCUUAUUAUGAUAAUGAAACUCUGUUGUGUUCUUGCUGUCCUGAGGCCGGGCUGUGUGUGUUCCCUGGAGCCUGUCUUCUGUGUGUGCAGGGUUUCUAUCAGCCUCUAGCAGGACAGCAGGGCUGUCUGCCCUGUUUAUCUGGGUUUUACAGCAAUUCCACUGGAAGCCCCGUCUGCCAGCCGUGUCCUACUGGGUCCUACAGCAAUAACACGGGCUCUGCCUCCUGUACAGCCUGUGCACCAGGUAACAAGUGACAUGCAUACAUAUGUAAAUUCAUUCAUUCAUUCAUUCUGCUUUCCUACCUAAAUAAAUUGACAUAUUGAGAGGUGGAGAAAAAACAAACGCAAAUGCAACUAUUGAAAUACUGAGGGGAAAUAAGAAUUUAGAUUCAUUUAGAAUUUUUUAUUAAAAUACAUAAAAGUGUAUCAUUGUAUAUUUCACUGGAAUCAUUAAAAAUUAUUCUUUAUUACAUAAAAGUACAUGUAUCUAUGAAAAAUAAAAAGCAUAAGUAUUAUAUACCUUAUAGUACAGUUAUGAGAUGUAAAAUGUUAUCUGAAAUUAAACAUUUAAUAAAGCAUACAAAAUAUAUUGUACUGUUUCUUUUCUUCUCUUUGCAAAAUUCAACAUCAUGUAACCCAUGUCCACAAGGCAUGUACUGCAAUUCCUCCAGCUGUACUCAGUGUCAGGUCUGUCCUGCAGGCUCAGAGGCUCUACAGACCGCUUCCAAAGAAUGCACACCUUGUCGCCCAGGAAUGCACAAGCCUGCCCAUCAAAUCAUUUGUCAGAUUUGCAGCAGGGGUUUCUAUCAGAUCCACUGGGGCCAGGAGAACUGUGACCGGUGUCCUGAAAACCACUACUGCCCUAGUCCUGAUGUAAAUCCGAUCGAGUGUCCCAGUGAUGCGUUCUGUCCCGAGGGCAGCACGGCCCCUGGUUACUGCAUGGAGACCUUCUUCAGAAAGGCAGGGGAGACGUGUGAACUUUCUCCUGUUACCAUUGCACUGCUUGUUAUUGGAGGAGGAGGUAUCAAGCUAAAUUUAUUAUAGAACUUAUUAAUUGGUCAGUAUUCGAUUUAAGAUUGUUUGGUAAUGUUUUAAGGCGGGGUUUAGCAAAAGGUCAGUUGUCGCUCUUAAAUGAUUCUUCUCCUCCACAGUGGGUCUUCUCUUCAUCAUUAUUUUGGUUCUGCGGAGGAGAAGAGAUAAUGACAGCGAGCUUUCCCUUGCCCGGACCCCCCUCCUGCGUAAAAGACCGCCCACGUGGUCGCUUCUAUGGAAUCCCUUGUGAUGCUGAGCCUGUUUAUGCAGGCUGGUGACGUCACAUGACCAUGUACAUACCUCACAGAUUUUGUCUGAAAGUUUCUAUUUAGAACUUUGAACUGUUGUAAGCUUUAUAUUGGUAAGAUACUAUUAAAUAUUUAAUGAAUGAAGACGCACUUUUCUGCAUUCCAUUUUUAAAACCUGUUUACUACUGACCGUGUUGUGAAGUUACAUCUCUUUUGAUUCCGCCUGCUUUUCUUGUAUUUAAUGUGAUGCGUCUCAUUAAUUUUAAAACAGAAUAUUUUAGACAAUUUCCAAGGUUGUAAACUGCAAUAAACAGCUUUUCACAACUUUGAUAUAAAAGUGUGGUGUCUCUAUGAAAGAUUGAUGGGUUAUUCCUGAAACUUUCCUUCAGAAAUCCCCAACAUGUGCUUUCAGUAUCUGAACUGUCAUAAGACAAAUCCAGUUUUAUUGAUCAUACUUUAAUAAAAAAAAACUUUAAUUACAAAAAUAUAUUUUAAUAAUAAAAUUCACAUUGUUAAAAAAAUGGUUUAAUCUCUUAUUGCAUAAUUCUAUAAAAUAUAUUUUUUUAAAUAUAUAAGCCAUAGAAGGUAUAGUAAUGCUGCUGCAUGCAUACCAGUAAGGUUUCAGUACUAUGGCAGGCAGAAUUGAAAUAAAACUGGUUUGACUAUCCAUAAUACUUACAAUUGUAUUUUGACAAGACAUCAUUAUAAUUUGAUUAGUAAGAGUAGUAAAUAAAGAUAUUUGCAAUUAUAAUUGGACAAGUAAGAAAUCUGAUUAGAGAUAUCUCUAAAAACUUUAAAUAAAUUAGUGUGUAGAUUGAGUGUUCUCUGCAUACCUUACGUCAUUAAUUUUAAAACAGAAUAUUUUAGACAAUUUCCAAGGUUGUAAACUGCAAUAAACAGCUUUUCACAACUUUGAUAUAAAAGUGUGGUGUCUCUAUGAAAGAUUGAUGGGUUAUUCCUGAAACUUUCCUUCAGAAAUCCCCAACAUGUGCUUUCAGUAUCUGAACUGUCAUAAGACAAAUCCAGUUUUAUGAUCAUACUUUAAAUAAAAAAAAAACUUUAUUACAAAAAA